UACGGAGGGUGCAAGCGUUGCUCGGAAUUAUUGGGCGUAAAGGGCAGGUAGGUGGUCUUAUUUGUCUUGUGUGAAAUCCUUGGGCUUAACUCAAGAAGUGCGCAAGAAACGGUAAGACUAGAGUCCUAGAGAGGCUAGUGGAAUUCCCGGUGUAGCGGUGAAAUGCGUAGAGAUCGGGAGGAACACCAAUAGCGAAGGCAGCUCGCUGGGACGUUACUGACACUGAGGCGCGAAAGCGUGGGGAGCGAACAGG
rnacentral:rRNA from 1 species